rnacentral:rRNA from 1 species
UAGGGAAUCUUCCACAAUGGACGCAAGUCUGAUGGAGCAACGCCGCGUGAGUGAAGAAGGGUUUCGGCUCGUAAAGCUCUGUUGUAAGAGAAGAACGUGUGUGAGAGUGGAAAGUUCACACAGUGACGGUAACUUACCAGAAAGUCACGGCUAACUACGUGCCAA